rfam:Gossypium raimondii Chr07_contig_702, whole genome shotgun sequence.
AAUAAGAGUAUGCCAAUUCAACAUUUUUAUCCUAAAUUUCAGUCUUUUCAUCCUGAAAAAAAAAUCAAAUCCCACAUGAUUUGCUGAAAUUUAGGAUGAAAAUGUUGAAGUAGCAUGCUUUUAUU